rnacentral:lncRNA from 1 species
GUAUCCUAUAAUUCUUUUUUUUUUUUCCCCCAGUUGUAGGUGGACAUAAUACCUUUAUCUAUCUAUCUAUUUAUUUAUUUAUUUUUAAGAGAGAGAGAGAAUUUUAAUAUUUAUUUUUUAGUUUUUCAGCGGACACAACAUCUUUGUAUGUGGUGCUGAGGAUCAAACCCCAGCCGCUUGCAUGCCAGGCGAGCGCGCUACCACUUGAGCCACAUCCCCAGCCCUAUUUAUUUAUUUUUAAUGUAGUGCUGAGGAUUGAACCCAGGGCCUCACACAUGAUAGGUAGGCACUCUACCACUGAGCUACAACCCCAGCCCCUGAAUUCCUUUUUUCUUUUUUAAAUAUUUAUUUUUUAGAAGUAGUUGGACACAAUACCUUUAUUUUAUUUAUUUACUUAUGAAUGUAUUUUAAUGUGGUGCUGAGGAUCAAAUCCAGGGCCUUGCAUAUGCUAGUUGAGCACUCUACCACUCAGCCACAACCCCAGCCCCCUGAAAUUCUUUUUUGUAAGUAGAUUAUAAGUAGAACCAGCCAGAGAUCAUAAGUUGGUGUUGUCCAUAAAAAGCCUGAAAAUAACAAACAUCCACCUUGUAGUAACUUUCAUGUCAGUACUUCUCAAUGGGACACUUUUAUCUCUUCGUGUACAUUUUGGCAGUAUUUGGAGACAUUUUUGGUUGUCUCAUGGGUAGAGAUCAGUGAUCCUGCUAAAUAUUCUACAAUAUAUAGGACAGCACCUACAAUAAAGAAAAGAAACCCUGUCUGUGGUUUAGGAAUAGGAAAUUGAGAUUCACUGAUACUUAAUUUUUUUUUAAUCUUUGAAAUUAUUCC